rnacentral:rRNA from 1 species
GAUGAACGCUGGCGGCGUGCCUAAUACAUGCAAGUCGAGCGAACGGACGAGAAGCUUGCUUCUCUGAUGUUAGCGGCGGACGGGUGAGUAACACGUGGAUAACCUACCUAUAAGACUGGGAUAACUUCGGGACACCGGAGCUAAUACCGGAUAAUAUUUUGAACCGCAUGGUUCAAAAGUGAAAGACGGUCUUGCUGUCACUUAUAGAUGGAUCCGCGCUGCAUUAGCUAGUUGGUAAGGUAACGGCUUACCAAGGAAACGAUGCGUAGCCGACCUGAGAGGGUGAUCGGCCACACUGGAACUGAGACACGGUCCAGACUCCUACGGGAGGCAGCAGUAGGGAAUCUUCCGCAAUGGGCGAAAGCCUGACGGAGCAACGCCGCGUGAGUGAUGAAGGUCUUCGGAUCGUAAAACUCUGUUAUUAGGGAAGAACAUAUGUGUAAGUAACUGUGCACAUCUUGACGGUACCUAAUCAGAAAGCCACGGCUAACUACGUG